rnacentral:sRNA from 17 species
CGAGAAAGCGUUGCCGCAGGCAACGACCCGAAGGGCGAAGCGCGCAGCGCUGAGUCAUCCUUCCCCCACCACCA